rnacentral:lncRNA from 1 species
UCUUUCUCUCUUUCUCUUUCUCUCUCUCUUUCUUUCUUUCUUUCUUUCUUUCUUUCUUUCUUUCUUUCUUUCUUUCUUUCUUUCUUUCUUUCUUUUUCUUUUUCUUUCUUUCUUUUUUUAAUGAGUAAGGGAUUUCCUUUAUUAUUAGUGAGAGUGAACAUCUUUUCAUAUAAUUAUUGACCAUUUUUAUUUUUCUCUACAAACUGAUUAUCCAAAUCUUUCUCCCACUUUUUUUCUUCAAAAAAAAUUUUAAUUUAAGAUCCAGGAUACAUGUACAGGACAUGCAGGUAUGUUAUGAAGGUAAACAUGUGCCGUGGUGGCUUGCUGUACCUAUCAACCCAACACCUAGGUAUUAAGCCUCACAUCCAUCAGCUAUUUAUCCUGAUGUUCUCCCUCCUUCCAAUCCCCCUAACAGGCUCCAGUGUGUGUUGUUCUCCACCCUGUGGCCAUGCGUUUUCAUUGUUCAGCUUCCACUUAUAAGUGAGAACAUGUAGUGUCUGGUUUCCUGUUCCUGUGUUAGUGUGCUGAGGAUAAUGGCUUCCAGCUCCAACCAUGUCUCUGCAAAGGGCAUGAUCUCAUCAUUCCUUUUAAUGGCUGCAUAGUAUUCCAUGAUGCAUAUGUACCACACGUUCUUUAUUUAAUCCAUCAUUGAUGGGCAUUUGGAUUGAUUCCAUGUCUUUGCUAUUGUGUUCUCACAUUCUCAAAAUGAAAGUUGGGACUAUUGAUCUCCAAAGUGCCAACACACUAAACACUGAAUGGUUGCAAAAGAAGAGUGAGUUAAUGGCAGACAAUAAGCUGAGAUCUCAGUUCCUACCUUGUUCUCACCAGUCCAGUUUGUGUUCCGCCAUUUGCUCAUAUAUUUCACUGUCAUGAAAUUUGCAAGUGCUCAUGAAAUUUGCGAGUGAAUAAAUGGUGAAGAAAAGAAAAACAAGAGAAGUCAUCUACAUUUUAGAAGGGCAAAUAUGUGAGGAAGGGCUGAGUGGCUGAAUCCGAAUAUUUUCAUUAAUUCCAAACAAAGACAAUGGAAAGUGGGAAAGAGGGGAAUUGCAGUUCUAUAAGCUAUCGUUGCUCCAUAGAAGAAAGGGAAGAGCCAGCAGUAAUCAGGACUUUUUAAAAGAACUGUCCAAGUUCAAUGACAAUAUCAUCUAGCUUUCUGACUCUAGGCAUCUGCCAAGAAACAUUGGAAUCUUCAUCUCAGUAAACUAAAACCAGGCUAGACAAAGCAGGCACAAAGGAGAAGAGAAUCACAUUCGAUAGGUUAGUCAGUAUAUAGCAAGCUAGAUCAGCCAUGGAAAUAUGCAUUAGUCAGUAAGCUUGAUACCUAAAUCAGUGGAGACAUGGUCUAAUAACUGACCUUUCAUUUUUUGGGGUGAUUUUCAUAGGCAUACAUGUUUACAUAGCAACUCCAUGAGAAUUUACAUUAAGUAGAUGCUGAUAUUCAUUGAUUAUUCAGAUAUUCUUCAACUUAAGAUGGGGUUAUCUCCUGACAAACUCAUCAUAAGUUGAAAAUAAGUCAAAAAUGCAUUCAAUGCACCUGAUCUAUGGAAUAUAAUAGCUUGGUCUAGCCUCAAAUGUGCUCAGAACAGUGAUAUUAGCUUA